rnacentral:rRNA from 1 species
UACAGAGGGGGCGAGCGUUGUUCGGAAUUAUUGGGCGUAAAGGGCGCGUAGGCGGCUCCACAAGUCACUUGUGAAAACUCUGGGCUCAACUCAGAGCCUGCAAGCGAAACUGUGGUGCUGGAGUAUGGGAGAGGUGCGUGGAAUUCCCGGUGUAGCGGUGAAAUGCGUAGAUAUUGGGAAGAACAUCAGUGGCGAAAGCGCUCUACUGGACCUUAUCUGACAUUGAGGCACGAAAGCUAGGGGAGCGAAUAGG